UAUAUAUCUGGGUAGUAUGUAUACUCACUGACUAUACGCUUAACUUUUAAAUGUACUCCAGAAAUUUUUAAGUAUGUUUGCUCUUAUCUUCCGCCUCAGCGUUCUAUCGAUCAACCCUAAAUCUUCUGCCUAGCAAUUCUAAGCAAGCGCGUGAACGUAUACAACAAAUAACAUUUUUUCAAAAUAGCGAAUAAGUG